CUAGCCUACUAAAUAGUUCGGCGAUCCGGCUUGGGUCGCUGCUAACUUCUUAGAGGGACAGGUGGCGUUUAGCCACAGGAGAUUGACCAAUACCAGGUCUCUGAUGCCCUUAGAUGUCCGGGGCCGCACAGCGCGCUACACUGAAGGAAUAAGCGUGGAUGGUUUCCUUGCCCGAAAAGGUUGGGAAACCCGUUGAUUCUCUUUCGUGAUAGGGAUUGGGGCUUGAAAUUCUUCCCCAUGAACGAGGAUUUCCCAGUAAGCGCGAGUCAUAAGCUCGGCUUGAUUACGUUCCUGCCCCUUGUACACACCGGCCGUGGUUACUACGGAUUGAACGGUUUAGUGAGGGCCUCUGGAAUUGGUCUGGGCCGGCCCUUCACCGGGCGCCCCCCCGGGUCGAGAAGACGCUCGAACUUGAUCGUUUAGAGGAAGUAAAAGUCGUACCAAGGUUUCGGUAGGUGACCUUGCGGAAGGAUCAUUAA
rnacentral:rRNA from 1 species